rnacentral:rRNA from 1 species
UACGGAGGGUGCAAGCGUUAAUCGGAAUUACUGGGCGUAAAGCGCGUGUAGGUGGUUAUGCAAGUUGGGUGUGAAAUCCCUCGGCUCAACCGGGGAAGUGCAUCCAAAACUAUAUGACUAGAGGACGGUAGAGGAAGGUGGAAUUCCUAGUGUAGAGGUGAAAUUCGUAGAUAUUAGGAGGAAUACCUGUGGCGAAGGCGGCCUUCUGGGCCGUUCCUGACACUGAGACGCGAAAGCGUGGGGAGCAAACAGG